UGAAAAGCAGCCGCUCAACGGUUGUCGUGCAGUUGAUACUGGUUUUCUUGAGUGCGCGCGAGGAUGGUGGAAUUUGUGGUGUAGCGGUGAAAUGCUUAGAUAUCACAAAGAACUCCGAUUGCGAAGGCAGCUGUCCGGAGCGCAACUGACGCUGAGGCUCGAAGGUGCGGGUAUCAAACAGGAUUAGAUACCCUGGUAGUCCGCACGGUAAACGAUGGAUGCUAGUGGUCGGCGACAGACUGUCGGUCACCGAGCGAAAGCGUUAAGCAUCCCACCUGGGGAGUACGCCGGCAACGGUGAAACUCAAAGGAAUUGACGGGGGCCCGCACAAGCGGAGGAACAUGUGGUUUAAUUCGAUGAUACGCGAGGAACCUUACCCGGGCUUGAAUUGCAGCUGCAUGGAGCAGAGAUGUUCCUUCCCUUCGGGGCUGCUGUGAAGGUGCUGCAUGGUUGUCGUCAGCUCGUGCCGUGAGGUGUCGGCUUAAGUGCCAUAACGAGUGCAACCCUUUUCCCCGGUUGCCAUCAGGUAAUGCUGGGCACUCCGAGGAUACUGCCGCCGCAAGGCGUGAGGAAGGUGGGGAUGACGUCAAAUCAGCACGGCCCUUACGUCCGGGGCUACACACGUGUUACAAUGGGGGAUACAGAGCGUUGCCACCCGGUGACGGGGCGCCAAUCGUGAAAGUCCCUCCCAGUUCGGACUGGAGUCUGCAACCCGACUCCACGAAGCUGGAUUCGCUAGUAAUCGCGCAUCAGCCAUGGCGCGGUGAAUACGUUCCCGGGCCUUGUACACACCGCCCGUCAAGCCAUG
rnacentral:rRNA from 1 species